rnacentral:rRNA from 1 species
AAAGGAAUUGACGGGGGAGCGUACAACCGGUGGAGCAUGUGGUUUAAUUCGAUACAAAGCGAAAAACAUUACCUAGACUUGACAUGUACCUGCAAAUCUUGGGAUAACCAAGACGCCUUCGAGGGUGGUACACAGGUGAUGCAUGGCUGUCGUCAGCUCGUGUCGUGAGACGUCCGCUUAAGUGCGGUAACGAGCGCAACCCUUAUCGUCAGUUACACGUAUCUGACGAGACUGCCCUUGCCAAGCAAGGGAGGAAGGAGAGGAUGACGUCAAGUCAGCACGUCCCUUACGUCUAGGGCUACACACAUCCUACAAUGGAACCUACAACGGGUAGCGACGAGGUAACUCUGAGCCAAUCCUUAUAAAAGGUUCCUCAGUUCGGAUUGAGGGCUGCAACUCGCCCUCAUGAAGAAGGAAUCGGUAGUAAUCGCAAAUCAUAAGGUUGCGGUGAAUACGUUCUCGCUCCUUGCACACACCGCCCGU